GCUCCCAUAGCUCAAUUGGAUAGAGCAGUAGACUUCUAAUCUACAGGUUACAGGUUCGAGUCCUGUUGGGAGUGCCA
rnacentral:tRNA from 1 species